rnacentral:rRNA from 1 species
UACGAAGGGGGCUAGCGUUGUUCGGAAUCACUGGGCGUAAAGAGCUCGUAGGCGGUUUGUCGCGUCUGCUGUGAAAACGCGAGGCUCAACCUCGCGCCUGCAGUGGGUACGGGCAGACUAGAGUGCGGUAGGGGAGAUUGGAAUUCCUGGUGUAGCGGUGGAAUGCGCAGAUAUCAGGAGGAACACCGAUGGCGAAGGCAGAUCUCUGGGCCGUUACUGACGCUGAGGAGCGAAAGCGUGGGGAGCGAACAGG